rnacentral:tRNA from 1 species
CGGAGAUUAGCUCAGAUGGCUAGAGCGUACGGUUCGGGACCGUAAGGCCGGCGGUUCGAGUCCGCCAUCUCCGAC